GUCUGAUUCCAAGAUGCCGGAUGCACAGUCUGGUUAUGAAAAGGGCAGCACCCUUGUGAUGGCGGGACUGUCCGGCCUGAACAUGGUCUACGAGGCGG
rnacentral:ncRNA from 1 species